CCUACGGGAGGCAGCAGUGGGGAAUAUAGGACAAUGGGCGCAAGCCUGAUCCAGCAAUGCCGCGUGUGUGAAGAAGGCCUUCGGGUUGUAAAGCACUUUUAUCAGGAGCGAAAUGCCAUGGGCUAAUACCCCGUGGAGCUGACGGUACCUGAGGAAUAAGCACCGGCUAACUUCGUGCCAGCAGCCGCGGUAAU
rnacentral:rRNA from 1 species